rnacentral:rRNA from 1 species
UGUGGGAUACCAUUGAACGAUGGCUAAUACCGCAUAAUGCCUACGGCCAAAGAGGGANCUUCGGGCCUCUCGCGUCAAGAUAUGCCUAGGUGGGAUUAGCUAGUUGGUGAGGUAAUGGCUCACCAAGGCGACGAUCCCUAGCUGGUCUGAGAGGAUGAUCAGCCACACUGGAACUGAGACACGGUCCAGACUCCUACGGGAGGCAGCAGUGGGGAAUAUUGCACAAUGGGCGAAAGCCUGAUGCAGCCAUGCCGCGUGUAUGAAGAGGGCCUUCGGGUUGUAAAGUACUUUCAGUUGUGAGGAAGGGGGUAACGUUAAUAGCGCUAUCUCUUGA